CACAAUAUCAAUUUUAUGAAACUUAUGUGCAAACUCAAUAUAUUCAUCUAUGUGGUCAACUGAUGGGAAGUAGAAUCAGAUAUUUCAGUUUCAAUACUAUCAAGAAAAAGAAAAAUCAGUUGUGAUUCCAAGAAGAGAUGAACUCAGUUGCCCUGUAGAAAAGAAGACCCGUCUGGCCAAUACUACUGAUACUAAGUUGGAGCACCUUGGUGUACAAACCCUCCUGGCAUGUCUCUAAUGGCAAGCUGCAAAGUUUUGACCUCCUUUUCUGCUUAAUAAAAACAGACUCAGAAUCCAUUACAAAGAAGAUGUGGUUUGAAAAUAGCUACAUAAUAUGACUUAAAAAGGACUGAAUUACAGUAGCCAACAAUAUUCUUCAUUUUGUUUUCUGGAUGCAAUAUAACAGAGAAAGGAGGCAACAAACAACUGGUCUUGGUUUUGAGUGAGACAGUGACUGAAGUGAAAAUCUGUUUUGGUUGCAGAAUAUAAGGUUUACUGAAUAAAGAUACUCAUCGGGGAUGCUGCAUCAGUUGCUAUGUGCCAGAUCAAGGUGCUUUGCUUCAUUCUCCAUGUAGAUCUUUUUGUUAUAAGCAUGCAACCCGUAAGAUUUUUCAAGUGUCAUUAUUCAGUGUGUUGGCUGUUGUUUUUGUUCUCUUUUAUAAGGCCCUAGGUCUUUCAGUGGUAAAGUAGUUUUCUGAGGUUCUCAAGAAAUAUAAUUGCAGCUUGCGAAGGUGACCAUUGUUAUCGGACUAUUUUACUAUUUGAUUAUUCAAUCCUCCUCCACUUCAAGUUAGCCCGUGACUAUAUUCUGAUUCUUUAAAGCACUAUGUAAAUCUAAGAAGCAAAUGCAACGUCUAGUUUUACUGGAUACCGUGUACAUUAGGUUGAAUAAUCCUAGGAAUUUUGUUACGGUCGUGUCGUGCAGAAUGAUGACCUUCUCGGCCCACAGGAACAUCAUUCACUUACUCAGCAUUGAUUUUUCUCAUGCUUUCCUUUAUGGUAUUUAAGCAGCUCUCACAUCUCUCCUUUUACUGAGGUGGAAUGCUAGAUAAUUACAGACAGGCUUUGCUUCCCAGAUUCAUAACGCUGUAUGUUUCUAAAUCUUUUGGAAACAAAUUGAUAUGUCACACUGAUUUUUAAGUGAAAUCAUUGUUUUCAGAGGUAUGGUAUAGUAAAACAAUUUUCACUGAAAAAAUAUUUCAAAUGCCUCUGUA